rnacentral:misc_RNA from 1 species
GAUGAAGAACGUAGUGAAAUGCGAUACGUAAUGUGAAUUGCAGAAUUCAGUGAAUCAUCGAAUCUUUGAACGCAUAUUGCGCUCUUUGGUAUUCCGAAGAGCAUGCUUGUUUGAGUAUCAGUAAACACCUCAACCUCUUCUUGAUUUUUCAAAAGGAGGGUGGACUUGAGCUAUCCCAACAACCUUUACCGGUCGGCGGGCGGCUUGAAAUGCAGGUGCAGCUGGACUUUUAUCUGAGCUAAAAGCAUAUCUAUUUAGUCCUCGUCAAACAGGAUUAUUACUUUUGCUGCAGCUAACAUAAAGGAUAAUUGUCCUCUUUGCUGACUGAUGAAGGAUUUUACGACACUUUAUGUGUUGUUCAACUCGAUCUCAAAUCAAGUAAGACUACCCGCUGAACUUAAGCAUAUCAAUAAGCGGAGGA